GCAGUUCAGUGAUAGAACACCUGCUUUGCAUGCAGAAGGUCCUAGAUUGAAUCCUUGGCAUCUCCA